rnacentral:rRNA from 1 species
AUGAUCGGAAAAAUCAAGUUACAAGAACGGGAGGAGGAUGACUUGAUCUUUGAAGAGGAAUUCCCAGAUGAGAUCGAGGAAGCAGAGUUCAUGGCGCUGGCGACGGUGCACACGAACAAGCCUUUCAGUCGAGGAUCGUUCUACGAUACGAUGCGACUCGCAUGGAGUCUAGCACAAGGAGUAACCUUCAAACCCCUGGGUGAAAAUUUGUUCUCUCUGACGGUGAAUUGUCUAGGGGAUUGGAAGCGGGUCACAGAGGAGGGCCCGUGGCUGUUUCGUGAUCAUGGUGUGCUUAUUGAGAAGUACGAUGGAUACACCAGGUAUGAGGAGGUAGUCUUGGAUAAACUGGCUGUUUGGAUUCAGAUUGUCGAUCUCCCUCCGGUUUUCAGGAAGGAUCAUGUGGUUAGAUCGCUAGCAAAGAAAGUGGGGGUUGUGGAGAAAGUAAUGUUAAACCCU